AACGAACGCUGGCGGCAGGCCUAACACAUGCAAGUCGAGCGAGGACUUCGGUUCUAGCGGCGGACGGGUGAGUAACGCGUGGGAAUGUGCCCUUCUCUACGGAAUAGCCCUGGGAAACUGGGAGUAAUACCGUAUACGCCCUUUUGGGGAAAGAUUUAUCGGGGAAGGAUCAGCCCGCGUUGGAUUAGGUAGUUGGUGGGGUAAUGGCCUACCAAGCCGACGAUCCAUAGCUGGUUUGAGAGGAUGAUCAGCCACACUGGGACUGAGACACGGCCCAGACUCCUACGGGAGGCAGCAGUGGGGAAUCUUAGACAAGGGGGGCAACCCUGAUCUAGCCAUGCCGGGUGAGUGAUGAAGGCCUUAGGGUUGUAAAGCUCUUUCAGCUGGGAAGAUAAUGACGGUACCAGCAGAAGAAGCCCCGGCUAACUCCGUG
rnacentral:rRNA from 1 species